CAGGGCUGCGAAAGAGAAGAAGAAGUCUGAUAAGGCGGUGAAGAAGGCACAGACAAAGCCCCAGGCGAAGAAGAUGGAGAAGGCGGCAAAGCCGAUGAAGGUCAAGGCUCCCAAGGUCGGCGGGAAGCGGUGAUGAGAUUUUGAUGUGACAGGAAAAAUAAAUUAAUUAUUUACAAAAAAAUUUUUUUCACGAGUCUGCUUCGUUUCUCUUUUCGUUGUUGUGCUGUUGGCUGUGCCGCAAAUCACUGGCAGAGUAACCUCGUAAAUAAUAGUCUUCAAAAUCCAAGGCACUAUAUAUCGAAGACAGAAAGAAAGAGACAAGUUGGUCAUAUUGAUGGAUCAACACUGCAGAUUGCAGUAGAAAAAGCCUCAAAUUUGCAAUUUACCAAAGAGGAAUGGAGAGUGUUGCUAUAUCCAUGAGAUUGAAUGAAAGAGUAGUUGAUUUGAAAUCGCCCGAUGCAAAAUUAUACUAUAAUCUACACUACUUGGAAAAUAUCAUAACCUGUUAAGAUCAUAAUAUGUUAAGUAACAUAUCGUAAAGUACGGUAUAGAUGAAAUGCAUUACUUGUCAACAACUUGUACGAAAUAGAUGCGUUCGUACUGGUAACACGUGUAAAAUUAAAUCAUUAACGUAGAGCAACAACACAUUUAUUGUAGUUAAAUGUACAUAUAUCAUAAAUUUUAUUACAAUAAAUAAUGUGGCAAUGGCCUUAUAGAGA